rnacentral:rRNA from 1 species
CGACCUUCGGGAGCCUAUACAGGUGUUGCAUGGCUGUCGUCAGCUCGUGUCGUGAGAUGUUCGGUUAAGUCCGCUAACGAGCGCAACCCUCGCUGUGUGUUAUAUGUGUCACACGGGACUGCCGGUCUUAAGCCGGAGGAAGGUGGGAUGAUGUCAAGUCAGCAUGGCCUUUAUAUCCUGGGCUACACACACGCUACAAUGGCCAACACAAUAGGUUGCUAAGCCGCGAGGUGGCGCCAAUCCAUAAAGUUGGUCUCAGUUCAGAUUGUAGGCUGCAACCCGCCUGCAUGAAGAUGGAGUUGCUAGUAACCGCAGGUCAGCUAUACUGCGGUGAAUACGUUCCCGGGGCUU